GCAUCAGUGGUUUAGUGGUAAAGUGAGUUCUCCAAAACAUCUUCUGACGAUGGGCCCCGUGUUCGAUUCACGGCUGAUGCA
rnacentral:tRNA from 1 species